UACGGGGGGGGCAAGCGUUGUUCGGAAUUACUGGGCGUAAAGGGCUCGUAGGUGGCCAACUAAGUCAGACGUGAAAUCCCUCAGCUUAACAGGUGGGCUGCGGAAGAUACUAUAGAGCUAGGAGGCGGGAGAGGCAAGCGGUACUCGAUGGGUAGGGGUAAAAUCCGUUGAUCCAUUGAAGACCACCAGUGGCGAAGGCGGCUUGCCAGAACGCGCUCGACGGUGAGGGAUGAAAGCUGGGGGAGCAAACCGG
rnacentral:rRNA from 1 species